UUAACGUUGCAGUUUGUACUGUCGUGACGUCAGUAACACGUGCACAUGCCAUGAAUCACGAGAAGAGUUAUGCACCUUGUAGGCUACAACACGGCAUGACAUAUGAGCUUCAAAAGCAAGAAAUAAAAAUAUUUAGUCCAGUUCGUUUUG